AGCGAACGCUGGCGGCAGGCUUAACACAUGCAAGUCGAGCGGGCACUUCGGUGUCAGCGGCAGACGGGUGAGUAACACGUGGGAACGUACCCUUUGGUUCGGAAUAACGCUGGGAAACUAGCGCUAAUACCGGAUACGCCCUUUUGGGGAAAGGCUUGCUGCCGAAGGAUCGGCCCGCGUCUGAUUGGCUAGUUGGUGGGGUAAUGGCCUACCAAGGCGACGAUCAGUAGCUGGUCUGAGAGGAUGAUCAGCCACACUGGGACUGAGACACGGCCCAGACUCCUACGGGAGGCAGCAGUGGGGAAUAUUGGACAAUGGGCGCAAGCCUGAUCCAGCCAUGCCGCGUGAGUGAUGAAGGCCUUAGGGUUGUAAAGCUCUUUUGUCCGGGACGAUAAUGACGGUACCGGAAGAAUAAGCCCCGGCUAACUUCGUG
rnacentral:rRNA from 1 species